rnacentral:piRNA from 1 species
CAAAACAAAACCCAACGAAGUGAAAUGC